rnacentral:rRNA from 1 species
GGGGGGAGCAAGCGUUGUUCGGAUUUACUGGGCGUAAAGGGCGCGUAGGCGGUCAGCACAAGUCAGUUGUGAAAUCUCCGGGCUUAACUCGGAAAGGUCAACUGAUACUGUGCGACUAGAGUGCGGAAGGGGCAACUGGAAUUCUCGGUGUAGCGGUGAAAUGCGUAGAUAUCGAGAGGAACACCUGCGGCGAAGGCGGGUUGCUGGGCCGACACUGACGCUGAUGCGCGAAAGCCAGGGGAGCGAACGGGAUUAGAUACCCCGGUAGUCCUGGCCUUAAACGAUGGAUGCUUGGUGUCUGGGGUUUUAUAGUCCCCGGGUGCCGCAGCUAACGCGUUAAGCAUCCCGCCUGGGGAGUACGGUCGCAAGACUG